UCUCCGUUGGUGAACCAGCGGAUGGAUCAUUAUCGAGUUUAUAACUCCCAAACCCUAUGUGAACUUACCACUUGUUGCUUCGGCGCGCGCUUCGGUGCCGCCGAGGACACUUAAACUCUUUGUUUUUAUAAGCAUUUCUGAGUGGCCGAAAGGCAAAAUACAAAUGAAUCAAAACUUUCAACAACGGAUCUCUUGGUUCUG
rnacentral:misc_RNA from 1 species